UGAACGCUAGCGGCAGGCUUAAUACAUGCAAGUCGAGGGGUAACAGGAUCUUCGGAUCGCUGACGACCGGCGCACGGGUGCGUAACGCGUAUGCAACCUACCUCUAACUGGGGAAUAGCCCCGAGAAAUCGGGAUUAAUACCCCAUAAUAUUCAUCUUUCGCAUGUUAGAUGAAUUAAAGUUCCGACGGUUAGAGAUGGGCAUGCGUGACAUUAGUUUGUUGGUGAGGUAACGGCUCACCAAGACUUCGAUGUCUAGGGGUUCUGAGAGGAUUAUCCCCCACACUGGUACUGAGACACGGACCAGACUCCUACGGGAGGCAGCAGUAAGGAAUAUUGGGCAAUGGACGCAAGUCUGACCCAGCCAUGCCGCGUGCAGGAUGACGGCCCUAUGGGUUGUAAACUGCUUUUAUAUGGGAAGAAACUUCCGGACGUGUCCGGAACUGACGGUACCAUACGAAUAAGCACCGGCUAACUCC
rnacentral:rRNA from 1 species